rnacentral:rRNA from 1 species
UGGCGGACGGGUGAGUAAUGUCUGGGAAACUGCCCGAUGGAGGGGGAUAACUACUGGAAACGGUAGCUAAUACCGCAUAACGUCGCAAGACCAAAGAGGGGGACCUUCGGGCCUCUUGCCAUCGGAUGUGCCCAGAUGGGAUUAGCUAGUAGGUGGGGUAAAGGCUCACCUAGGCGACGAUCCCUAGCUGGUCUGAGAGGAUGACCAGCCACACUGGAACUGAGACACGGUCCAG